ensembl:lncRNA
AGGACACACAACACGUGUUUGCUGAUGAUCCCGUCACAACAGAGGAGAGCUACAGCAGCGUGAUUCUAAUCCCAUGUGGCUGAACAGCGUGAGGAACAAACUGCAGAGAAAUCACUACAGCACAGUGGGGGAGUUUGUAGGCGACAUCAGGCUCAUCUUCCAAAACUGCCAAACUUUUAACAGGGGUAAUGAAUUGGGCAUGAUGGGAGCCAGACUGUGUGAGAUCUUUGAGCAGAAGUUACACAUCGUCUUUAAGAUCCCGUAGCGAUUCUCCUGUUUCACAAACCCAAUCGUCCAGUUUACUAGUAAAACCCAAAGAUUUCAGAUUUGUUUUGGGGGAAGGGAGGAGGGGGUCAGACUAGUCAAAAGUCAAAGUAUAAGUGGUUUUGCCACAGCAAAAUAUGAGUAGUGUUACUAUGUCACAAAAUAUACAAGCCAAUCAGAUUCCAGCAUGCAGAUUUGGGAAGGGGCUGGCGUUUACUGUAGGAGGACAUCUCAAAUUUGUACAUUAACAGUGCCUGGAUUUUCGUGCACAAUGAGUACUUGAUCAGUGUUACGAGAAAAGUUUUUUUCAUUUAUUAAUAUAUACAGUAUGUGAUAUAGCAUUAUAUCACAGUUAUUGCAUAAAGAAACAUAAUUUAAUGCUUAUAUAAUCUUCUGAACUGUGUGUGUGUGUUAUGUUAAACACACACCUUUGGGUAGAAUACCUGUCUCCUGGAGUAUUUGGAGUCAUUUUAAGGAGCAUUGUGCAGGUUAGGACAUUUUUCAGAGAGAGGAAAUCAUGUCCACUGCAUGAGAAGUCAAUAAGAGUUGAAAACACACAGCGGUGUGACAGAACUUUGGAUAUAUUAUCAUAUUUUACCUGUCUGUGUGUCAAGACUAAACUUUCUUCACUCUACAUUCAGCUACUUUGAUUUUUUUUAUUAUUUUCACAGUCAUUACUGUAUGACUCAUGGUAGAUACUGAAUAACAUACCUCAGUGUUUAAGAGUCACUGGGACACAGAUGUUCUCGUUCAUCUCAAUGCCUUCGGCUAGUGCUGCUGCAGCAUGUUGAUCCAGUUCAGGAUGAGUCAUUUGGUUUACCAGUGCGUCUCAUGUUUGACUGCAACCCCAUGCGAACCCUCCCCGCCCUGCUGUUUUUCUGUGUUUUCUUCUUAGUCUGUCAUCUUAUUAAUCAUGUUAUGAGAUUAGCAAAACAUUGUCCUGGCGUUUCUUUAAUAAAAAAAAAUUAACAGUCUCAUUUCAUGUUAAUCUUUAUAAAAAUGUAUACAAUAAGUGUUGUAUUAACUGUACCAGUGGAUGUUCAUUGUAAAUAGAAUGUUAAUUAAAUGUGUUGAUUUUACUGUUAUGCAUGGUCUUGGAUCAGCU